rnacentral:lncRNA from 1 species
CCUCUGCCUCCUAGGUUCAAGCAAUUAUCCUGUCUCAGCCUCCCAAGUAGCUGGGAUUACAGAUGCGUACCAUGGAGCCCAGCUAAUUUUUGUAUUUUUAAUAGAGACAGGGUUUCGCCAUGUUGGCCAGCUGGUCUUGAACUCCUGACCUCAAGUGAUCUGCCCACCUUGGCCACCUCCUGAAGUGCUGCAAUUACAGGCGGGAGCCACUGCGCCCUGCCCAAACGCCUCAUUUCUUAAUACCAUCACCUUGGAGUUAGGUUUUCAACGUAGAAUUUGGAGGGACACAAAUCCCAGCACCAUCCAAUCUUAUCCUAUCCUAUCCUUCCCUACCCUAUCCUAUCCCAUCCCAUCUUAUGUCAUUGUUUCAAAUUACUGGUUGCAACCCACCAAAUGAUGUUAUGACCCAUGAGUGCGUCUAAAUCCUAAGUUCUGAAAGCUGUUCUUAGUGGUACAUUCCCAGAAAGCCAUAGUUGUUGGUAAUCAGUGCUUAGUGUGUAUUUGCUGCAAUUGGCAGGGCUCAGCAUGGUGUCAUACCUUGGGAUCCAGAGUGCCCCCAGGCCAUGUGGGGACAGGUAAGGAGAAAGAAAUUAGGAGCUUCCAAGAAUCUGGUUACCCAGAACCCUGACCCCACUAGGAGGAAUACAGGAUCACAUUUUAUGGCCUCUUGUCUUUGUGAUGGCCCAUGUUCGUGGGGGACCUUGAGGCUAGGUGGUCCUAGAGACCCAGUGGGCAGCGUGGCCCUGAACUUAAGCCAGCAUUAGGUCAGGAGGGUUUAGAAGGCAAGAGAAAGAGAUAGGCCGGGUGCGGUGGCUCACACCUGUAAUCCCAGCACUUUGGGAGGCCAAGGUGGGUGGAUCACUUGAGGCCAGGAGUUUGAGACCAGCCUGGCCAACAUGGUGAAACACCAUCUCUACUAAAAAUACAAAAAUUAGCCAGGCAUGGUGGUGGGCACCUGUAAUCCCAGCUACUUGGGAGGCUGAGGCAGGAGAAUCUCUUGAACCCGGGAGGCAGAGGUUUCAGUGAGCCGAGAUCACACCAUUGUACUCCAGCCUGGGUGAUAGAGUGAGACUGUCUCAAAAAAAGAAAGAAAGAAAGAAAGAGAUUAAAUACACUGGAGAAAGGAAGGAGGGCACCCAGUGUUGGAAGGGCUACUCUGCCUCCAUCAGCAUUUUCAAAUUUCAGGCUCUGGCCUUUCACCGAAUGCACUUCCCACCAGUCCUGUUUACACUGCCAGGUUCCGCUAGGAGCUUUCCCACCUCUGCAGGUGCAGGCCUCGCUGCUUCUUAAGGCCUUUCUCUGGGGUGGGAGGAAACGGAAACUGUAUGAUUGUCUUUCAUAUUCACUUUUAUAGACCUAUAAUGUCUACAAUGUCUGAGAGUGGCGUUUGCGGCAUGACUUUUAAAAAAAUGUCCUGCUGGUAUUGGACCCUUUCUGUGUUUGUGAAAUUGCUAUUUUGUAUUAACACAGUAUUUGAUAAACAUUUAUAUUAAGAAGAAUAAUCCCUCUGCUGAAUAUUAUUGUUUCCAAUGGAGUAGAAAGAACUUAAAAAAAAAAAUCAAGAUGUC